CACGUAGUUAGCCGUGGCUUAUUCAAGGGGUACCGUCUUCUGCUCUUCCCCCUUAAAAGAAGUUUACAACCCGAAAGCCUUCUUCCUUCACGCGGCGUUGCUGGGUCAGACUUGCGUCCAUUGCCCAAUAUUCCCCCACUGCUGCCUCCCGUAGGAGUCUGGGCCGUAUCUCAGUCCCAAUGUGGCCGGUCAACCUCUCAGUCCGGCUACUGAUCGUCGCCUUGGUAGGCCGUUACCCUGCCAACUAGCUAAUCAGACGCGAGGCCAUCUUCCAGCGAUAAAUCUUUGACACUUUCAAACCCGAUGCGAUUCAAAUGUGUCAUGCGGUAUUAGCAGUCGUUUCCAACUGUUGUCCCCCGUCUGGAAGGCAGGUUCCUCACGCGUUACUCACCAGUCCGCCACUAAGCAUUCCUAUCCAUUGACCGAAAUCUCUUUCAAGGGUGCUCCGUUCGACUUGCAUGUGUUAAGCACGCCGCCAGCGUCGUCCUCGUGCCAGGAGUCAAACGUAC
rnacentral:rRNA from 1 species